AAAAUUUUUAUUUUUAAAAGUCUACCCAGUUAACUCGCUUGACUAGAUCAGAGUGCUACUGAGAAAAAAGUUUUAGCUUUCUUCUCUUCACAAAUAUCUUUACUUAACGUCUUGCCCUUCAGUGCUAGAUAACCAGCAGGCAAGUGAGACUCGCUAAAAACUGUGGGUGGUGGAAUGGAUCCUCCGCACUGAGAGGACAGAACAACACGUGCCAUUUUCUAAUCAUUGCAGCCUGUGAACCUCUCUAAAUAGGCAAAUGAGGCCAAGGGCGAUGGAGGGUCAAUGAGAGCUCGCGGGGUGACGCCAUUCUGCUGGGGUUCUGGAGAGGCCAAAGCUGGAGACGGUCCCGUUUGUGGUCAGCACGGCCUUUUACUUUCUGGCCGUGACGGGCAACUGCACCAACGUCCUCGUCUCCCUCCAACUGCACACUCCCACUUCCUCAGCGACCGGGCCCUUCUCCACCUCCUGCCACAGCACUCGCAGCUUCUCCCAAGUGCUAGUUAACCUCGGGGGCUCAGGCAAAUCCAUGGCCCGCGUGGGUGUGCGGGGCGGCCCUCUGAGGUCUCUGGCUCCUGGUCUGGCCUGGCCGCGCCGGCUCCGGGAGCUGCCAUUCCGCCCUGACGUCGCCGCGUACACGUACCUGGGGCGGUGCAGUCACCGCUGCCUCUGCCAGUUCGUGUGUGGGACGCCGGGCAUCACCGCAUUUCCGCGUGGACGCCGGCAGGGUGGAAGGCCUGGCUUUCCCCGGCCACCCCAACCGCCCUGGCGCCUCUCGCGCGCCUUGGCCUCGGCGCCUCGGGGGCGGUGCACUGCUGCGCAUGCGGUCUCAGCGCCCGGCCUUCCCGCGCGGCUGCCGCCCUUUCCACAGUGACGCCGUCUGCGCUAGCGCCGCACUCGCUUCAACUGCCUGCAACCGCCGCUGAAUUCCCUCAUCCACACGCUGAGAGGACGAGAAAGGCGCCCUGGGGAAGGCUCUCGGGAAAGCCCGCAGCCGCUGGACGCGGGAGGACAUGGAGGUAGGCGGGAGCACUCACUCCGCGAUUUCGUGUGGUCCGCGAAGCUUUUUCUCUUCAGGACAACACUGCACAAUGGCAUCCAUUAAUAAUACGAUGGGGAACGGAGGCCGCGGCGCUCGCCUGCAGUCCCAGCGCUUUGGCAGGCCAAGGCGGGCAGAUCGCUUGAGCUCAACAAUUCCAGACCAGCCUGGGCAAUACAGCGAGAACCCAUCGCUACCAGAAAUGUAGAAAAUUAGCCGGGCUAGUGGCGCCUGCCUUUAGUCCUAGUUACUUGGGAGGCUGAAGCGGGAGGAUCGCUUGAGCCCAGGAGUUUGAGGCUUCAGUGAGCUCUAAUGACACCACUGCACUCCAGCCUGGGCAACUGAGCAAAACCCUAUCUCUAAAAAAAGAAAAAAGCGCCGAGAUUGUGCCACUGCACUCCAGCCUGGACGACAGAGCAAGACUCAGUCUCAAAACAAAAACAAACAAACAAAAAAAAAGAAAAAAGCGGCAGGGAUGUGAAUGUGAAUGGAGCAAGGCGUUCUCUCAGGGGUCUCAGACUUUGUAUCUUUGCUUGCAGGUGGACUGACUGCCCCAUGUCCUUCAAAGUUAAUUGCAAAAGAGUUCAUUGCAAGAGAUGAUGUGCUGGUGGAAAGAGAGAUGCUGCUGCUUCUUUCCUCAGUGGGGUUUUACAGGCAGAUAAUGACUGCUUUGCAGCUCAUUUGUGACUGAUUCCACUGAGCGGUAAUGUCAAUAUUAAAUCAGAUAUAAGAGUAAGGAGACAGCAUGGCAGAAACGCACGUGUGUGUCUGUGUGACAUUAACAUUUAGAUUGGUAGACUUUGAGUAAAGUAGAUUACCCUCCAUGAUGUGGAUGGGCCUGAUCCAAUUCAGUUGAAGGCCUUAAGAGAAAACAGACUCAGGUCCUACAAGGAAGGAGGAGUUCUUACAUCUGCUUUCAAGCUACAGCUGUAACAUCAACUUUUCUCAGAGUCUCCAGCCUGCCCUGAAGAGUUCUGAUUUGCCAACCCCCAUAACUGAGUUAGCCAGUUUCUUCAAAUAAGUACCCCUACCUCUUCACACACACACACACACACACACACACACACACACACAUCUUCUGUUGAUUCUGUUUCUCUGGAGACCCCUAAUACAGUUGUACUACAAACUUCCCAGAAGUUAUAUAAAAUAAAGCACAUCUUGAUCAAAUUUGGAUACGUUUUUGCCUUUUUUUACAUGCCCAGCUCCCAUCCUGAAGCUACCUAGGGACUACUAGCCAUUUGUCAACUUAUUAACAUACAAGUACCACUUUAAGGAAUCCAAGGAUUUUAGUAGUUGUAUGCUUGGAAACCUACUGAAGACCAAAUAUAUGCUUCAGAGUAUAUACAUGUGAAUACCAUUUGAUUUUUUAUUCUAAAAUUUAUCUUGAGCUACUAGUCAAGUUUGC
rnacentral:lncRNA from 1 species